GUUUACUUGGAGGCUUCUCAGUUUACGAGUUACCAGCGUACCCUUGAACACCAGCCAACGUCUCACAUGGCUCUUCAAGCAGAUCUCGUAUCUCCUACAAACUCAACACUUUCACUGAUUUGUUUUUUUCCCUUGCUGUACCACCUUAGGAUAUGUGGAAGAGCAGAAUUUCAGAGGAGCUAGGAAAUGAAGCUUCAUCAACGUGUGAAGCCACAUUGUCCUUUUCUCCAGUGUUUCUCUGUUACUUGCCUGCCCUUUUGAGUUCGCGGUUGCCAGGUUUGGUCACAGAAAGUAAUCUCUGGGCUGUUACCUCAGAAGGGAGCAAACCAGAUGACUGACAGCAGGUUACUUUUUUUGAUGAUGGUGAGAAAUUGUGCACAAUUGUCCGAGGAUGUUUGAUCUCCUUCCCUUUACUCCCAGGGAAGGGCUGCAGGAAGCAAGAAAUCGCAGUCAGAAGAGAGCCCUGUCCUCAGAAAAGCAUUUUAGUGACGGACCAGCAGAGGUAUGGAGGGACAAUCCACCUGCCACUUCAUUGCAUUUCUCUCAUCUUAUUUCCCCUUCUAAGUAUUUUUUCUCAGAUAUUAGCAUCUCCUACUUGCUUUGUUUUUCUAUUGUCUUUAUUCAGAGAUAUCUAGCAGGAGGUUGAUGUGUUUCUCAUUCAGUACUGUCAGGUGCAUUGGGAAGAGUGUUAACAGCAGGUUACAUGUUUAUGGCCUCAAGUUGUGCCAGGAGAGAUUCAGGUUGGACAUUAGGAAAAAUUUCUUCUCCAAAGGUGUGGUCAGAUGCUGAAAUGGGCUGCCCAGAGGGGUUGUGGAGUCACCUUCCCUGGAGGUGUCCAAAAAGGAUUUAGGUGUUGUACUGAGG
ensembl:lncRNA